rnacentral:misc_RNA from 1 species
AAACCCUCAAAGGGGAAAGCUUGACCGCUUUCUCUCUUUGGAAUUGGAGUGUGCCGGCCUUUUUCUAGCCCGGCUCCUCUGAAAUGCAUUAGCGAUGUGACAUCCUCGUGCCAUCACGCUUCUCCAGCAUUGAUAGUCUCUUUCAUGCUCGAGUGUGUUGUGCAGCAGUGGAAAGUUUUGCUCGCUCACAAACUUGAUUGGGGGCUUUGCACCCCCAUCACUUUGACCA